rnacentral:rRNA from 1 species
GAUGAACGCUAGCGGCAGGCCUAAUACAUGCAAGACGAACGGUAAGUUGAGUAGCAAUACUUAGCCAAGAGUGUCGUACGGGUGCGUAACACGUAUGCAACCUACCCUAUACAGGAGGAUAGCCUAGGGAAACCUGGAUUAACCCUUCAUAGUAUUAUUGGAUGGCAUCAUUUGAUAAUUAAAACUGAGGUGGUAUAGGAUGGGCAUGCGUCUGAUUAGUUAGUUGGCGGGGUAAUGGCCCACCAAGACGAUGAUCAGUAGGGGUUCUGAGAGGAAGAUCCCCCACACUGGCACUGAGAUACGGGCCAGACUCCUACGGGAGGCAGCAGUAGGGAAUAUUGGUCAAUGGAGGCAACUCUGAACCAGCCAUGCCGCGUGUAGGAAGAAGGCGUUCUGCGUUGUAAACUACUUUUGAUUGGGAACAAAUGACUCUUGCGAGAGUAGCUGAGUGUACCAAUAGAAUAAGCCACGGCUAACUACGUGCCAGCAGCCGACGG